CACAAACCUCUCUGCAGAAUGCUUGGGGGAAAUCAGCUGCGGGGGCGCACAGGACCCACUGAUCAGAGUCAUCCCCAGAGAUUGAUGCUUACAGAGAUGAAAAGCCCUCAACCAUUGUCACCAGGAUCAGAGUAUUGAGGAAACUCAGGGAUACCUGCACCCUCCAGUGUGUCAUGUGGAGACUCACCUGGGAAUGCAAGUGGCCAACAGUAGUGAAGAGGAUGAGCUUGUGUGGUCAAAAUGGGAUGUGGAUGUGAAAUUUAUCCUGUGCUGUGCAAAGUACCACAGAGUGAGUCACCUUCCUCACCAGUAGUGUUAGAAAGAGGGUGUGAAAGUUGUCAGAAU
rnacentral:lncRNA from 1 species